rnacentral:lncRNA from 1 species
UGGGGAAGUGGAGAGAAAGAGACCACCAGGUGGUAGAACUGAAAACACAGCCCCCACAGGCAGGUGGGCAUUGUGGAGCUCACUACAAGAACUCUGGGACCGACCGACCAACCCACUUGCCCAGUCCCGUCCUGGGAGGUGGGGGUGCAGUGACGACAGAUGGGUGUGACGGCUGCCAGAUUCCUGAGACCCGCCCUGCGGUGGGGCUACACCCAGCCAGGAAGUCUCCAGAGGUGAGGCUGUUGUUUAAAAACCUGGAGCCGGGAGGGGAGACCCCCACAUUCAAGAGGAGCUUUCAGGCGAUCUGGAGAAAGAACGGCAGAACACACAGCAAGGGAAGGUCCUUUCUGGGGAUCACCCCAUUGGCUGAAGAUGAGACCAUUCUUCCUCUUGUGUUUUGCCCUGCCUGGCCUCCUGCAUGCCCAACAAGCCUGCUCCCGUGGGGCCUGCUAUCCACCUGUUGGGGACCUGCUUGUUGGGAGGACCCGGUUUCUCCGAGCUUCAUCUACCUGUGGACUGACCAAGCCUGAGACCUACUGCACCCAGUAUGGCGAGUGGCAGAUGAAAUGCUGCAAGUGUGACUCCAGGCAGCCUCACAACUACUACAGUCACCGAGUAGAGAAUGUGGCUUCAUCCUCCGGCCCCAUGCGCUGGUGGCAGUCACAGAAUGAUGUGAACCCUGUCUCUCUGCAGCUGGACCUGGACAGGAGAUUCCAGCUUCAAGAAGUCAUGAUGGAGUUCCAGGUG